UUAUAGAGUGGGUCUACAUUUUUUUUCAGAAAACACUAAAUUGAAGAGAUUUCAUAGCUGAAGAGGUUUCACUGGUAACUUUGCCUAAGCAACCUAGAAGAUCUCCCCAGUUGCAAGAUAUAAAUUCAUGCCUCCUGCAUCCUCUGUCCACAAAGGCCUUGAUAUCUACCAGCUUAAUUCCUGCACCAGUGGAAAGGAAACCCGGGGAAGUGAGGAGCACACAUCAACAGCGUUGACUCAGAUGGGAGUGGAGGACCAUGAAAUGAAGUCUAACUGCAUUCUUUAACUCACAGGGAAGAGAGGAAGAAUACAGGACCACUGAGGAAGACUCUGCUUUGCACAAGAAGAAAUUGUACGCUGAGAGUCAGAUCUGUACCCCAAUAAAGAGGAAUAAAUGCAGUCUAUAGAAAACA
ensembl:lncRNA